UUGAUGCAUCUGGUCCUACCUGAAUUCCAUCUUGAAAGGUGAUUGUAUUGAGGAUAUUUUAUUGGAGCUGGUGGAAGAAGGUGAAGAGGCAUGCGGGUGCUCAGGAGUGAUGACUCACUGGCCCUGGAGUGGUCGCAGCAGGGAAGAGAGAAGAAGGUGGGCAGGAAGAUGAGGUAGGGGGCCCAAGGAUGAAAGACCUUUACAACCCAUGGGAAAGUCACUUUGCAUCAGGAAGGUGAUGCUGAGCCCAGGAGGGAAAAGUGGUCCAAGCAGCACCAUGCUUAGAAGGCCACCAGGAAGUUCUCUUUCAUUAGGGGGAGAAUGAAUCUGAAAUAGAGCAAAGCCAUGGGGAAGCUUGGGAACUGGUCCAUGCGAGUGAGAAGAAUCUGAACCAGCUGCAGGGGUGGGACAAAAAGAAGGUGGCAGGGGAGGAAGGAUCAGAAAAAGCGAUUUUCAGCAACUGGGUAAUGUAAGCCCCUUGGUAUCUGUUUCUUCCAGACCAGGCUGCAGAACUAAAGAAUAUGAAUAAUAGAUGAAGGAAAUGAUGAUGCAAGUUAAUAAGAAAAUGUUAACAAUGUGCUUAGAUGAAAAUUCUAGGGUGAGAGAACCAGUCAGGAGCGAGUGAGGGUUAGAGGCUCAGCCCUAAACCCCGUCGUUCUGUGGUUGCUCUUUAGCGAUGGUUCCAGUGGUGAAGCGGGAGGUACUGGAAAUAUGUGCUGACAGCGUCCCCUGAUCUCUCAGGCAUUGGGAAUAUGUCUCACAGGGCAGAGUCCCUGUUAUUGCCAAGCCUAUUCUAGACACAAGAAAUAAAUAACUAGGAAAACCAUGCCUGCUUCAGGUCACCUCCUGUAUUUGUCAUCUUCCUUCCUGAGAACUUGUACCCAGCAGUGUAACCCUGGAAAUAAGCAGCCAAAGCGCUAGAAUGGAGAAAUGAUUAUCUCUCCCUUAAUAUCAGCAAGAGGAGCUUUGGACAUUUCCCUGAAAAAUCAUAACUCUCAUUUUCUGGAAGUCUUGCGUUCUCGCCCUAUCCCGUGCAUGGAGUAACAGCUCUCCACACCCUGUUUCAUUCAGCAACACAGCAGCCUCUUCCCUGAGAGAGGGUGUGGGGAGCAGCAGGAAGCCAAGGCCAUUGCCAGCCCAGCACCCGGGAGGUGCCGCCCAGAUGCCGGAGAGCAAAAGGCAGUGCACCCCUGAGCUCACCAGCUGAGACAUCUUGUUUUUGUUUUCUCUGUGAAUGAUCACGGAUGCACCAUCCAGGCUCUGACCAACACGGUGCAGCUCCUACAACCACGUAGCCUAUGGAUGGCGAAGCCCAGAGGCCGCGGGGCAGUCGCUGGGAGGUGCGGCUCAGAGGAGAGGACCUCUGUACACCCUCCAGCAAUAAAAGCAUCUGGUGGACGCCGCUGUGUAGGCUCUGGUUGCCAAGGUGAGUCGUGCUGUGCUGGGGUCUGGAGCCAUGGGUGGUUGUGACUGGUGCUGAGCGCAUGACCUGUGUCUGGGCUGACAUGUGACGGAUGCCUUCGCAGGCUGAAGGCUUAAUUACAUGCGUACCAGUCUUUCCAGUGGGAACAGAAGUGUGUUUCAUGGAUGCACUCCAGCCAUUCCCAAGUCUCCUGAGAGAGCAGUGGGUUUGCAUGCCCACAUCCUACUCUGACCAGGAUCCAGGAUAAACCGUGAGGACAGGCCCUCCUAAUGCUAAGACUUGCUGCUGUGUGAGGGGUGAAAAGAGCCUAGAACAGGAUAGAGGCUCGUCAGCCCGAUGGCCGGCGGCUUUCGAGGGCAGGAAGCAGCAUUUCUGGAGUCUUGGAAGGGGGUCUUCCCUUGGGUCUUAUGUUCUUAAACGGACACAUGUCCUGUCUCUUGACGAUGCCCUGGCCGUCACAGCAGCAUGGAGAAGGUGAGGCAGAUCCCUCUGCCCACGUCCUCUGGGCCCGAGUCUCCUGGAAACUUCAAAAUCCCUCCUUGUAGCCCAGACGGCAGGACUUGUCACGUGAGAUGUCAUACCUGGGUCAGCGAGACUGCAGUGUUUUUGGGGCCAAACACGAGCAGAACUGGGUUUGGCCCAAGAGGUGUAGCCAUUCACCUCCCUCCGGCAGAACAGGGGUGGACCCAGCAGUGGGGCGAAGUAUGGUGGCAGCACAUUCUAGGUGCCCAGGGAGGGGAACACAUUCUAGGGCAGUUAACCUGUGUUUGGGCAGAGCUGGUGAUCAGACGGAUCCCGGCUGGACCUGUGUGCUUGUUUCCUGCAUCUUUGGAUAAAAUGCAAUCCAGAAUGCGAUCAUCCGGCCAAAGGAGACCCCGGCAAUGUCCGCUGCCACUUCCUUGGUCUUAUUUCGUGAUGACAAAAGGUGAAAAGGUAGCUCAAUCUCAACACCUUAAAAAAAGCUAAUAAAACCCCCAAUUUGUAACCAGUGGUUUUAGACAAAAUACCAUAAACAUAUCAAAGUCUAUUUCUCACAAGAAAUCAGUAAAUUCAAAUGUCCUGGGUAGGUUUCUUUUAUUAACAAGGUACACAUGACGUGGUUUGAAAAGAGUCAGUCAGAUCUUGCUAAUGUUUUUGAAGAGUCAAAGCACAUUUUCAAGGUAAUUCUCCACCAGCAACAGAUGCGUCAGGAAAACUCGUGAGAAUUUCAUCAGUGGAGAGGGUGACCAUAUAACACCAUCCAGAGCUAUCAACUCAGUGAGGUCAAGCGCAUGUCUAACUCCUCAAAGUAAGGUUUUUUCCCUGUAAAAUUGAGGGAUAGUCUUUUUACUCUUGGAGUGGUAUAGAAAGAAUGCCACUUUAAUUGGUUCUAAACGAGCCUCAGGUUUCCCAAGUGAAAGGUGCUUAUUGAGAGGCCGCUCAGCUGCCGAGGCCUGCUCCUGGCCUCCCUCCACGUGGACCACGAUGCUGGAGGCACCGGCCUUCUGAGCGGCUGACAGCCCAGCUGCCCCUAGUUAGAGGGAGGGCGAGAAGCACGCCUGGGCCCAGGCAGGCCUGUUCCUGCUCAUUGCGGGGGAGGCGCCAGAGCUAUAAAAGGGGAAGCCCCAGGCCGCCCCCUCCUCUGCGUGGGCCAGGCUGCCAGGCCUCUGUUCUGGUGCCCUGGGCUGGGCUGCAGGGCGGCAGGGGUGGGGUUUGCUCCCAGUGGGCUUCUGGGAAGAUGGGGUUGGGGGGCCUGGCGGUUCUUCACUGUUGGGCAAAGUCCCUGCUUCUUUCUCUCUCUUCCCCAGGCCUGUUCUCACUACAAAACUCUCUCUCGCUCUCCUGUCUCUCUGAAAGCCAAGGAGGCCUCUCUGGGGUCGCGGGGCUCUGUAGGGUCUGCUGCUGGCCUCCUCCUAGAGAAAGCCUCCUUCUUCUGAAGUUGCCCUUUUCGUUAAAAAACAAAAACCCUUAAGUGCGUGUCCUCAGUUCAGUGGGCCAGCGUGAAGCUUGGGGUACCUUACUCCAAGUAAGGCCCGAACUCCCAACCUUCUAGGGGAACAGACCAAGGUCUCAGGAGGCCUCAAAGUGCCCUGGGCACAAAAGAGGGGGCUGGGUGUGGAGGGGGGCACAAAAGGGCCCCGGGGUUUGUGGAAUGUGGGCUUGGGGGCUCUGGGAAAGAGCGUGGUGGUGGAAACGGUCCCUCACUUCUAGUGAAGAAGCGGACAGGGCUGGGCUUCUUCCGACAGGUAGGCCUAGAAGGAAAACCAGACCGCUGACCCCGUAAGCAGCAGACUGGGCAGACGAAACCUGCUGCGGAGGCCGUCUCUUCGUAAAGGCACUGGGGUCAAGCCACCAUGGCCUCAGGGGAUCGCUAGGGUUUGCCCCUGAGACAGGUGGCGAGGGGGCUGGUGGACGCCCUGGUCCACCCUGUGUAGCUGUGGAGCCUGGGGCUGCCCAGCACCCCCUCAUCAGGGCUGAGCACCGCAGACUGUUCCCUUGAUCCAGCUUCAUCUAGGAAAAGACACCAAAGCAGCCAGAACCCCAAUGCUGAGUUGACCUCUCCAAGAACAGGGCUGCCCAGCCUCUUCCUUGCCCCGGGGAAGGGCCUCAUGGUUUCUGAAUUUCAGAAUAUCAAGUCAUUCAAGUUUAAAAAAAAAAAAAAAACCAGGCCCCUUUUGCGAUGGCUUUAUUUUGGCUUUAAGUAAAGCAACUAUGUUUCUGUGUUACUGAAGAAAAUAGUUUAACUAGAAGUUCCUUAUUCCUGUUAGUAUGAGCUGCUUCUGAGGGUCUAAUCUGCUUUCGGAAAGCUCGAAGGGUCUGUACUGAGGGAGGAAAUUGAGAGAACCCUGGUCUCGGGUGCAGAGAAUGGCCCUUGUGUCCUGCAGUGAUUACCCUAGUAAGUCUCCUUACCCCUCCACCAUACAAAGCGACACAAGUUCUUUCCUUGGGCUAAGCUCUUAAGACUGACCCCGGGCACUUUUCAGAUACGCAACACACUAUCACCUGGGUGGCCGUGUUGUAUG